CUUGUGCUUCAUGCAUGGCCCCAUAACUGGUGCAACUGCACGGCGUCUACUAGAGACACCUCUACCUGAGAUUCCUAAACCAGAAUUACCAAAAGUUCCAACCUUGCCAAAGCCUGAGAUCCCAACUGUGCCGAAACCUGAGAUUCCAGCCAUUCCAAAGCCUGAGAUCCCAACUGUGCCGAAACCUGAGCUUCCAACCAUCCCAAAGCCUGAAAUACCAGUUGUCCCGAAGCCUGAGACUCCUAUUAUGCCAAAACCUGAAGUACCAAUUGUGCCAAAGCCCGAGCUACCAUCCAUCCCGAAGCCUGAGUUACCAACUUUACCAAAGCCUGAAGUACCAACUGCGCCAAACCCUGAGCUACCAACCAUCCAAAAACAUGAGUUACCAACUUUGCCAAAACCUGAAGUACCAACUGUGCCUAAGCCAGAGACUGUCCCGAAGCCUGAGAUUCCUAUUAUACCAAAACCUGAAGUACCAACUGUGCCAAAGCCCGAGCUACCAUCCAUCCCGAAGCCUGAGAUCCCAACUGUGCCGAAACCUGAGCUUCCAACCAUCCCAAAGCCUGAAAUACCAGUUGUCCCGAAGCCUGAGACUCCUAUUAUGCCAAAACCUGAAGUACCAAUUGUGCCAAAGCCCGAGCUACCAUCCAUCCCGAAGCCUGAGUUACCAACUUUACCAAAGCCUGAAGUACCAACUGCGCCAAACCCUGAGCUACCAACCAUCCAAAAACAUGAGUUACCAACUUUGCCAAAACCUGAAGUACCAACUGUGCCUAAGCCAGAGAUACCAGCUGCCCCAAAGCCUCCAACUUUGCCAAAGCAUGUGAUCC
rnacentral:lncRNA from 1 species